UACGUAGGGUGCAAGCGUUAAUCGGAAUUACUGGGCGUAAAGCGUGCGCAGGCGGUUGUGCAAGACAGAUGUGAAAUCCCCGGGCUUAACCUGGGAAUUGCAUUUGUGACUGCACGGCUAGAGUGUGUCAGAGGGGGGUAGAAAUUCCACGUGUAGCAGUGAAAUGCGUAGAUAUGUGGAGGAAUACCGAUGGCGAAGGCAGCCCCCUGGGAUAACACUGACGCUCAUGCACGAAAGCGUGGGGAGCAAACAGG
rnacentral:rRNA from 1 species